AUGAAGUGCGGCCACAAAUUGUAAUUUGAGAAGUGAUACUGCUUCUUAAGACCAGCAGUGCAUCUUUCUUUGGAAUAUCAAAGUAAAUUUGCACAGAGGGGCUACAAUGCAACACCUGUCCAGAAGUGCCACUGUAGAGGCUGUCAGAAGCAAGCUCCUUUGCAGAGGGAGCACCCAGGUGCUGCAGUGAGAAACCCCCAAACUAGUUACAUCAUUGUGUCCAUGGCAGUCCUAAGCUUGGAAAUACUUCACUGCACAGGGCCACUGAUGUGAUGUCUCAGCAUUGCUGGCUAACAGGCCCAGCAGGAUGGUCAGCAGUUUCAAUGGGAAACUUUGGACAAACCUACCUAGGCGGUAAUUUGCACUAAGUACAGCACUGCUGUGUCACUUCUGCUUCAAGUGCUGGAUGCAGUGCUGAAGAGAACAUCAGAACUGCAAGACAGCGUCAUGCUCAUAUAAAGCUGGAGGAAGAAGGAGGAAGGGAGGACAUUCACAGUGAUGAUGCUUGUCUUCCCAAGUCACCAUUACAUGUGAUGGAGCCCUGCUUUCCUGAAGAUGGCUGAACACCUGCCUGCCCUGGAGAAGUGGUGAAUGAAUUCCUUGUUUUGCUUUGCUUAAAGUAGUCCCAUACUGAUCUUUUUGCUUGUUGGAAAUUUCCAGAAAAUUAAAUUGCCUGUUGAAAAGAAAACUCCCACGGUAGAUCUGAGAAUAUCUUUACCCUUAACUAUCAGUGAUCCAACUCCACUGGAAAGAAGAGAUUUCCAGGACAGGUUUGCUGGAAGGACCUGUGGGCUUUGUUGAACACAAAGUAGAACUUGAGUCAGCAGUGAGCCCUCAAAGACCAACCACAUACAGGCUGUACUAGCAAUAGUGUAGCUGGCAAGGCUAGAAAGGGAAGCUAUUGUCUCCCCAUACUUAGUACCAGUGAGACCAUAUCCAUAGUACUGGAUCCAGUUUUGGAGUCUCAAGUAUGAAAAAGAUACUGACAGAGAAGGACUACCAAGAUGACUGGGUACUGGAGCACAUGAUGUAUGAGGGGCUGAGAGAAAGGGAUUUGUCAAGUCUGAGGACAAGAAGGCUGCCUGGUGAUCUUAGUGCAGACUUCAUCUAUCUAGGGGAAGUGUAUAAACCUGUUUCUCAGAGGUGCUUAGUGGCAGGUAAGAAGCAAUAGAUAUAAGUUGCAAGGAUGUAAAUUUUUACUGAAUAUUAGGGGAAAAGGAUCUACAGUGAGAGUAGAAAACCAUGGGACAGGUUGCUCAGAAAGCUGUGGAACAUGGGCAAAAUUGGAGACAAGUAAACAACUGGACAAGGCCUUUAGCUAGCCUGAGUUAGAUCUGCUUUGAGUAACUGAUUGGAAUAGAUUACCUCAAGAAAUUCACAACCUAAAUUAUGCUGUGAUUCUGUGAUUUUAUUAUUCUUGCCUUGUAAGUGGCUAAAUUUGAGAAGACAGAAAUGAAGGACCAGAUUGGAGCAGCUGUUCAAAUAGCUAUGCAAAGCUAUAUUCUUUGAAUCAGAGGAAGAAGAACAUUGUAGAGAGAAGUAAUACUAGACACCAAGACCAGCACUUGCAUUUAAACUUAGGGCCCCAGACUUUGCCUUCAAUAACAAACAUUUCUUCAGACAUUUUCACAGCUGGAAGAACAGUGUGCUCCACAAGACACUGUAGGAGUCGCCAUGAAAAGGAGAUUCUAAAUAAUUACCAACAGACCGAAGAAAAUUUUGUCAUUUGUAUUGAAAAACUAGAAUCCCUAUUGAUUUCUACCAGAGCUUCAUUAAUCACUUUCUGUAAAACACUAAUUUGCUGGUCACAACCAGCAGCAUCAAGAACAAGAUAGAAUACACAGAGAACCAAGAUCAGUGCGCUUACCUCUGCAAUAAUUUAUUCACCAAUCCAUAAUUUAAAACAAAGCAAAAGGGUUGGGGUAUACACUCAGAACCUGAAACACCAGUGUAUCAACUUUGAGGAAAUCUUAUAACAUCUACCCAAAUCUGCCCCUAAACUUCCAGAAAAGGGUCAUCACCUAUGAAGCCAUUCUGUGCAAAUAGAGUCCAUGUAUAACCACACUACCAUAUAUAAAGUCUCUUCAUUUAAAAAAUCACGUUGAUUGUAUGCAGAUACCUGGGCAACACCUCAGCCUUGAGAAUAAUACUGAAUUAUCAUCCACGCUUGAAGAAAGUUGGAAUUUAUUUCCUUCAUUGGAAAAUAAAUUGGCAGCACAUUCCAUCUCACUCUCCCUACCCCCUCCGGUCUCAGUAAGUUCAUUGCCCAAAGCAAGUUUCCUGGAGAUCAACAUGCACCACUUGUUUAUGGCAUUGUUCAGGGAGACUGGGAAUUUUGGCAGGAGGCCCAUUUGGCUAAGCAAGGAGCUUCUUAAUGAGCUAAAAUGCAAAGCACAUAAGAAGUGGAAACAAGGGCAGACAACAAAGGAAAAGUAUAAAAGUACUGCUCAGACAUGUUGGGACAAAACCAGAAAGACCAAAGCCCAGUUGGAGUUACAACUGGGGAGGAACAUAAAAGCUAACAAGAUGUGGUUUUACAAGCACGUCAGAAGUGAAAAGAAACUCAGAGAAAAUGUGCAUCCAUUUCUGAAUGGAAAGAAAACCUAGUGAUAGACAGUAUGGGAAAAGCUGAAGUGCUCAAUGACUUUUUGUCUCAGGGAAAACCUGCUCCCAGAUCUCUGCACACAUCAAUGCUGUAUGGGAAGCCAACAGUGUAUUAAAAUCCCUAGGGCCAGAUGGACUCCUGAGCAUGCUGAAAGGUACAGCUGAUAUGCUUUAGAGGUUUGCCAUAAUUUUUGGAAAAUCAUGGUUUUUGGGAGGGAUCUCUGAUGAACGGGCUGAUGUUACACUCAACUUUAAGACAGACCAGAAGGAGGAUCUAGGUAACUUCAGGCUAAUCAGCACCACUUCAGUCCUUAGAAAAAUAACAGACCACAUCCAUUUCUGAACACAUGAAGGACAGGUAGUAAUCAGGAGCAGUCAACAGAUUUAUCAAAGCAAAUCAUAGUUAAGGAGAUGAACUUGGACUGAGUUCUGGACUACAUUAAAAGAUCACAGCUAACAGAUUGAGGGUGGUCUGGUGAUGAUUUCCCUCUUCUUGACACUUGUGAGGCCACAUCCGGAACACCAGUUUGACCACUCCGUUUCUCCCAUGUGUCCACAGUAUAAAGAAAAAACUGACAUAUUAAAGUAAUUCUUGGGGAGGGUCACCAAGAUGACUGGGAAGAGCAUGGUUUGUUCAGCCCAGAGAAGGGAAGGCUACAGGGAAGUCUGAUUGUUGAUUUCUACCAUCUAAUAGAGUAUAGAGAAGACAGAGACUUCUUGAAAAUGCUUAGCAAAAGUACAUGUUAUAGAAAUGGCAAUUUUGGUCACUGGAAUCAUCAGAAAUAUUCAAAGCUCAGUUGGACUAGUCCCUGACCAGUCUUAUCUCAGUGUCAAAGUCAGCCCAGCCUUGAGCAGGAUCCUACCACACAGCCUUGAGUUCACUUCCAACCAAAAUCCUCCAAUGUUUUUAUGAUUCUGUGUUGAGAUAACCUAGUUCCUUUCUGCAGUGAAAGGACUGUUGACAUGGAUAUGAGUGGUCCAUGUGGGCUUGUAUCUUUCUUGUCUGGAAACU